rnacentral:lncRNA from 1 species
CGGGGGUCCAGGAGGCCGGCCAGCGCAUGGAGGAGGAGGCCAUGAACGGCGACCGGACUGAGAGCGACUGGCAGGGGCUGGUGAGCGAGAUAAGGAAACAGUGGCUCAGACAGGCUAAGGAACUUGCACAGAGCCUCACAUCUGUACCUGGUGUGUAAGAGGAAGCUGGAGAGUAAGAAGGAAGCCCUGCUGAUCCUCUCCAAGGAGCUGGACACCUGUCAACAGGAAAGGGACCAGUACAAACUCAUGGCCAAUCAGCUCCGGGAGCGCCACCAGUCACUGAAGAAGAAGUACCGAGAGCUG